rnacentral:sRNA from 1 species
AUUUUUUUUAAGUCAUCAUUUUACCUGGAUGGAAUCCCUAGGCCUCGAAGGCAAUGACAUCAUGGAUACCCAUCUUUGCUCUUGGAGUUUGUCUGGUCCAAUCUUCAAAUUAUAAUCCUUCAUCUCUAAUGGAAGCACAGAUCGUCUCUCCACCCUGAGCACGCAAAGGAGUGAGAUUUUUCUUCUGGUGGCAAAAUUCUCAACGUAUAGAGAGUCCUCGCCUACAGACAAUUAAAGGUGUCUCAGAUGACUCACCGUCAGAGAAAUUUCCUGAGUUUUAUUAGGUCUGGGGCCACUGAUCUUCCCUAAUACUCAGAGACUGUCAUCUCCACAUUCUGCUACAUGACUUUAUGAUUUGACAUCAAGACAGGCUCCUGUUGCAACCAGCAUUUAUCUGCCUCUGCUUUCUGAUGGUGGAUGCAAUAUGACCAGAAGCUUCAAACUCCUAAUACCAGGAUUUCACAACUAUGAUGCCCUUGAAAUGGCUUGUGUUUGGAAGAAUCCUACCGAGAUGAAAAGAACCAGGACUCACCGGCUGCAAGAAGACAGAAGAUCACACAGUAAAGAAGUCUAGCAUCCAUGGAAGGGCCAGAACAGG